CUAUUUUUGCAGUAAAAACUGUUAUCUUCAGUUGUUCACUCAUGCCGUGAGUGCAUAACCACACUGUAAAUAUUACAUUUCUUACCAUAAUUUAUACUUUUCAUCAGAGAAAAGUUUCUUGUAGCUUCAGUUUGUGUUUUCUUGUGAUUUCCAAGUCCUGACGCUUAGGUAACUGGAUCUGCUUGACUAAUAACAUCGACACUCAGCAGGAAAUUCUGUAGUUUGCCAUGUUAUUCUUCAGGCAACUAUUACCAAAACUGGCACUCACAACCAUGGUACCACAAGGAUUGAGUAAUGCUGGUACAUGGGUUCGAGUUGAUUUUUCAACAUCCAAAGUGGAUGCAAUUAUCAGUUCUCUGGUGUUUUGAGACCACAUAAUGUGAAGCACUGACAUGACAAACUACUUUUCGGUCACUGCAUCUGUAGGUAACCCAAAAUCAAGCACAUUUCAUAACUUUUCAUGGUGACAGUACUAAUUCUUAUGUUGUAUGUCAUCUCGUAGCUGCUGAUAGAAUGGACAUAAUGGAUUAGACAUUACAUUGACUUCAAAAGGAGGUCAAUCAUCAAAUAGUAGUUCCGGCCCCGGGCCACUUUAUUUGAUGUCAAAUCAACUUUUGGUUUUUUAUGUACAACAGUUUUUGCCCAACCGAUGUGAUGUUCUGGAAUUAUCCCGAUUUCCUUAAUGAUAUAUGGCGUGCAUAUAUGAAAUGAUGCUUUCUGAUUUUGUCUGCAAAGUGUUGAAUCCUUCUGAAUUUACCACUCAGUUAAUUAACACGGUUUAUAUAAUUGAUGCACCUCUGGUAAUAAUAAUAAUUGCAUUAAGACCAAUGUGUUAAUCUUUUUUUCUUCUGGUAAUUUACUUUGUCAAAAACUCAAAAUGAAUUGUUAUGGAGCCGUUAAUGCAAGCAUGAAAUUUGAAAUACUUAUGGAAAAAUGACUUUUUUUUGCAGGGAUAUGGCAAAAUGAUUUUUUUUUGCGGGGAUAUGGUAAAAUGAUUUGACAUACUAGGAUGACAUGCUAGUGUCAUAGCUGAGUGCUAUAGAUGCCAAGUGUGACAUGCUAAUGCAGAUGGCAAUAUCUUUAGGGUGCAAUAAUUACUAUUUAGAUGAUUUGCAAUUAAUCCAGACAAGUAGCAGAUUGAAACAAAACUGGAUUGCUACCAAAUCUGCUAAGACCAUUGAAGAUCCUUCUAGUUCCAAUAUCGUUACAAUUAUGUUGGACACUUUUUGUACCAGACCAUCUAGUAACAUGCACUAAUCGGUAGCAAAAAUAGUACGCUUUCUACUUUAGCUUUGUGUUGUGCCAUAUUCCAUCAGUUACUUUCUACAACAACAUAAAAUAGUUUAGCCUCCAAGCAUUCAAAAUAUGCUUAGAACUUGAACUAUCUUGAUCAACCUGGUACUGUACGGAUGUAAUUUCAUUCUAUCUUCAUGUUUUUCGCCUCAUGAUCUAAAUCCCAGAUAGCUCCCUGUUUCUGUUAAAUGUCUAAUAUGCAUAUACUGAUAUGAAUUUGCAAGUUGAGCCCGGGCUCCUCGGGUCCCUGUUUUUUAAAGAAUCCAAAAAACUCAUGAAGUUCUUAUUUACCACAAAUACAUACACACCUUAACUACGUACCUGUAAUUUUUUAUAAAAAAUAUGUUAAUUUGAGGGCUACAGAAGAAAAAAACAGAAAUAUGGGUCUAUAAUAGAUAUACUGUUCACUAUUAUAGACCCCACAUUGUAUUGCACGGCCCACAAAUGAAAACAUCUAUUUAUGUAAUUUUACAUGCAUGUAGAUCACACCUAUAUGUACAUGUGGGAUAUUUUUCAUACUUUUCUUAAUAUUCGAACUAUGAUCUUAAAUGUUUAAAAAUAAUGGAUGCAAGGAGCCCAGGCUCAAAAGAAGAAAAAAACCACACUAUACUUAUCCUUUUUUUCCGCUGUUGUGCAAUGUGUGUGCUUAUGUGAAUGCUUUACCUUUUGCUUAGUUAGUCCAUCCCUUUUCCACUUACUUGGAUGCUUACAAUUAUUAACUCUAGCCUUUGGUAAACUUGAUGUUGUAUGACUUGAUGCCAUUAUAUGGCGAAAAUAGGGGUGAUCGGCUUCCAGGUUUUUUUAUACCAUCGGUGCCUAGUACUUAGGGUGUAGACUGUAGAGUUAUAAUUUUGUGGUGUGUCCCUUUCUUCGGCUGUACAUAACUUAUCUUCUACCGAUGCAUCAAGACAAAAAGCUUUUUGCAUUUCCCAAAAAACUUGGUGCCAAGUGAACUCUUACACUGAUUGAUCGUGAAUGGACCGCCAAGCUUUUAAUGGAUGACCGAUAAGAAAAUACUAGCAUCAGAUUCAUGAUGUAAACCGAUUUUCAAUUAAAGUGAUAUAUUAAUUCCUCAAGCCAUUAGUUAGAGGUAACAUGCAAGUCAUACCUCAACCAGAAAAGCAUCAACUUUGGGUGCUUUGCAUUAGCUUCUUUCCUAUGCUGUUCAUGUGUACCAUUUCACAGUGCUGUUCGUUUCAUAUGAGUCUUAAAAGUUUGGUAUUAGUUUGCUCAAGUAAGUAUAGGUAUGCCUACAAUUCCCCUUCUGAACCCAAUUCCUUAAUUUGUGGUUGCGAGGAAAUUUUCGUAAGAUUCAGAUUAUAUGAGCAUAUUAUUUUUAAAAGAAAUUUAUGGCUUCUUACAGAUAUAUGUCGUACUUUUACCUUCACGAAACUUGAUUCAUUUGUUGCAUGUAUACAGGUUUUUUCAUAUGUCAGACACCAUUUUUGUUGAUGAUCAGUCUACCUGGGAGCCCCUUUUUAUACUGUCAUCAGUUGACACAGUACUCAGCACUCAGCAGCAUGUGUUCCACUAGUUAGUGGUUCAAUUCAUCAUUGCACGGCUUUGUCCUCGUGCAGUAAUAACAACUGGAGCUCUCAUGCUUCAUGGGCGGAUAUAAUCCUCAAAUGAUUGCUUCAAAAGAGCAUCAGGCGCAACUCAAAGGGAAGGUAAUGUUUUCACUUCUUUGAUCUUGUUGCUAAAAGUAUUAUGAGGAUUACUAGUCACUAGUUAGUACACUGUCAUACAUGCUACAGUUCGUUCCCUUUUGCAAAGUAACUACAAUUCUGUACAAACACAGACAUAUGAUCCACAUAAACAUUUUCACACUAGAUGAUGUCACAAGGACAAGGGUCGUGAUGCUGAUGCCUUUUGAAAUAUACCCUGUCCUGGAGCUAGGAUCGCCAGGGGGUCAUAGGUGUUUUUCCUCUGUUGAAAUGUGUCCCACCUUGCCCCAUAGUGGGCCUUCCACUCUGCUUCUGUGGUGUAGUUUGGCAGAUAUUGCUUCACCCCAAUACUUGCUUCGUUACAAAACUCUAUUAUCUGUCUGUUCAGGUUCAAUGUAUGUUCGAUGCUGUAGGGGCCUAGUGCCGAGGGUAGGAACCCGACCAGGUAGAAAAUCUCCCCAUCUGGUAUGACCACUGACGUUCUGUUGUCCCAUCUGCAUGAAACGAGAUGAGUCAUUUGCUAGGCAACAGUAUAACAUCAUGUAGUAUCAGAGUUUCUCAAUGGGGGUUUGUGAUCUCAGACAUUAAGGAGCUUUUACCUGGACUUGUUCGCUGGGUAGAUCAAUAUGGGACCAUUGUUAUUAUCUUUGAGGAUUUUUUCAAAGACCUCUGUCGCGAAUUUGUGGAUCGUGCUUCUGGGGAUGAUGAGAUUAAGCCAUGGGUGUGGGACUUCCCACAAGCCCUUAGCUCUUAGUUUCAACUCAGAUGAGUGCACCCUAUCCAAGAACUCCAUGUAAGUGACGUCUGUGUGGAAUAAGGAGGCGGGCGUGUAUCUAAGUUGAGAUAGUAGUGCAUUGACCUCCUGUAAACAUGAAUAAAUAUGGAAUUCAACCAGUCAGACAAUCUGAUAGCACUUAAUGUAUAAACAUAUUUAAUAACACAAGAUAAAUCGUUGCCUCACCUGUUCCAUGAUGUCAGCUUCUUCAGGGUUGAAGUUCUUUGUCAUCUCGAGGCAGAAGAGCACCUUUUUAUCUGUUUUGAACUGGCUAGCUCGCACCGCGUCCUGUGGAUUGAAUGAUGACCUCCAGUUGUUAAGGAUGCCUGUUUUGUUUAUGAUAACAAAACCCUCAAUGUAGUCGAAGGUCUUUUGUGCAGAAAUAAGCAUCUCCUGGUCCUCGGUGAAGCUCGCGAAAUCUAAGUAGAGAACUCUUAUCCACCUUACCUGUUGUACAUCCGAUCAACCCAUGAGCAUGCGCUUAUUAAAAUGUCACUAGCAUGGAUUUGCCAAAAAUGAGUUGUUUCGACUUACCAUCUGUGGAGCAGGCUCAAGAGCAAUCCUGGCCCGAGUGAUGAUGCCAAAUUGACCUAGACCUCCAAGAGCAGCAUGGAAGAGAUUAGAGUUCUGUUGAGGUGAGCAAGUGACAACGUCACCUCUUCCUGCAUUUGACAGUCAUGGUACAAAGUUAGAUACAUAAUUUACUCUUUUAGCUGUUCAAAUCAUCAUAAUAUAUAGGUCUGCCAUUACCAGUCACAAUCUCCAGUUCUUUCACAUUGCUGAUCUGUGGGCCAUGCCGGAAUGUCUGCCCGCUGACGCCCGCAUUUGAUAGUGUGCCCCCAAUUGUAAGAUGGAGGUAGUCUGUCCAUGACUUCGGUGCCAAACCAUACUUCAAUGUCUCGUUCAAGACAUUUAUCCAGAGUUCUCCUCCUGAGGCAUCCACAUAGGGUGACACACCAGGGUGGACCUUCAUGCUAUCACUCUGGAGGGAUUCCAUUCUGAUGACAAUCCCUCCAGCAGCCUGGGACUGCCCAUAUAGAGAGUGCCCAUGCCCACGAGCUGCUACUGUGAGUGCGGAGUGCUCACCCAUCAAGAACACAUGCCUCACAGUUGUGGCGAUGUCAGCCACUGAGCCUGGGUGGAGCACAGCGACUGGCAGGAAGCAAGAGAGGUUGCCGAAGUCCUGUGCAGCAGCAGACAAGUCAUGGAAGCUGAAAUGGCCGUCAAGGGAGAGUGCUCCCAGGGAUGCAGAUACAUCUUGUUUGGGCACAUGCAUGGCUGUGACUCCACCAAGGCCUAGCAACAGGAACAGCUUCAGAUACUGCAGGACUGGUUGCUUCAUGGCUCUUCUGUAGGUUUUGCAGAACAAACAAGUUUGGUGGUGAUAUUUGAGGAGAAAGAUGAAAGCUGUUUAGCUGGGUAGUAGUUCACUGCAAGAGCAUAAAGAUGAGAGUGGAGAUGGAGGGAGAGCAUGAGUUUUAAAGGAGAAAUGGAAGGGCAUGUAUGUGAACUGAUGCAGGAAGUGGUGCGGUCAAACGAGUCUAGGACACUGUUUGGUAGACCAGGAGACCCGUGCGACCGUGUGAGGACAGGCUGCUCGGAAAAUUUGGAUCAAGAUAUGUUUCAGUGGUGCAAUGGUUCCAUUCUAGAGUCUGGUAUUCAUUCUUUCUGGCUUCUGUUUUAAGCAUCUUGCGACAUCUGUCAGUAAGCCUAUGGAGGAAGGGCAAAAAGAUGCAUUCGCCCAGUAUGCUCUGUCUAUCACUGCACAUAUCACUCACUCUACCUUGGCCCUUGCCAGGAGAACAGUGACGGGGCAAAGAUCAAAUGUGUGCAGUUAACAGACAAAAAUAUUAAAAUUGCAUAUCUGAUGUGCUUCUCUGCAGGAUUGACCUUCUGAGCAAUUCAGAUGGUAGUAACAAAUUGAUUCAACUGGCAAACCUUAUUGCUAUCAAGCAGGGCCACUUGAUCCCUCAAAUUCAAUUGAUGUUUUGCAGGAGAAGCCAAGGUGUUAUCUCCGUGCUAUCAGAUUUGUUGUGACAAGCAUCCUGGUGAGCAUGUCUGAUAAAGCUUAUUCCCAGAUGUUUGUUCAGAUGCUGGGGGGCCGUUUUCUGUCUGCAUGCACAUCUAAUUUCUCAGAACAUGUAUAUCGGAAUGUGGCUGCUACCACCAGUGAUAAUACCUAAUAUCACUAUCCAAGAAUGACUUCAUAUACCUGGCUUUCCUUUCUAUGCUCUGUCUUGAGAGCACACGUAUUGAUCCGUCCC